rnacentral:misc_RNA from 1 species
AUGUAUGUUACAUCAGAACUUUUGACUGAGUAGACCGAUUUCGACAAAUUUUGUUUUAAUCGAAAGGUUUUGUGUGCCAAUUGGUCCCAUUUAAAUUUAUUUGAGAUCUAACAACUACUUUUCGAGUUAUAUCUAAUAAUGCGUUUUUACUUGACGCUUUUUUCGUCGAUCUACGUUGUAUUAUACCACAUAACUUUCUACUGGAUGUACCGAUUUUGAUAAUUCUUUUUUUGUUGGAAAGGGGAUAUCCUUAGUUUGAUACCAUGAUAAGGAAACUAGAAUCUGAUGAUGGGAUCCUAGACAAAUCGAGGGAAACUCUCGAAAAUC